UUUCGACUUUAUUAUCGAGUUUACACCAUAUGUACCUUUUAGUCGACAGCUGACAACCCCCAUCCAGACCCUCUCAUAAUAAUUGACAUAUUGUUCCUCGCAAGUAUAGAGAACUUAAAACCAUUGCACAAAUUAAAGCCCUGUUGUGUACAGGAGGGCAAAGUAGGGGAGACAGAUAGAGUGCAUGUUUGCACUGAGAUUUUAAUCGCCAUUUUUCCUUUAGCGACCAACCUCAAGAGCAUUUGACCCUGGCCCCUGUGGGUGUUACCACUCAGUUGAUGGUUUCUGAAAGUAAUGAGCAUCGCAGCCUGGAAACCGAAGAAUCCACCUUAUUAUAUGACGACAUCGACCCGUUUUCACCUGGAAUGAUGGUGCCUAGCGACAGUGGCCAAACUCCUGAAUAUACGCAAGUGUCCGGCGCUUGUUCUCAUAUCUAUACGCCACUGGAGAAAAGAGAAGAGGGAGAACACGAAUACGUCAAUCAAAUAGAGACUCCCGAGUACAUGAAUACUUACAUGCCUCUCUCUGAAGGAGACAACCCUAAGAUGUAGGCCGACAAUUCUCUUGCGUAUGCAUCGGUUUUGAAGUCUGAAAAAGAUUAGGGAGACGAUGAAUACGUACAUGAAGAGAUUCGGAGAAACGUAUUGCAAAUUUCAACACUAAAACGUUGUAUAAACGCAUAAAACUUUUUAAGUUGAAGGGGAAAACCCGUUUUCACAUACAGUGAUGAUGCUCACUGAUACCGGUGAACAUCUCAAUCAAAUACAGGUUUCUUAGUACCUCACAAAUGGUUACCUAUCUGUAAUUUAGGGCAUAUAGAGAAAUAAAAUUCCUUGAAUAGUGCUGA